CACAUUGUCUGAAAAUGCGCAAAUAAAGAUAAUGGAGGAGAAUUUGCAUCUAGCACCGCUACACGAUGCACAACAAGCCCUGUAGCCGACUUCCUGAGGGAAAACACUUGGGUUUUAGAUUCAACGACCCCCAUCGACUCACAAUCCAGACCGAAAAAAAGAUAUCCUGACGAUAUUUCCUAGGAAAGACGGACGCCAUCGGGAAGGAGGACUGCCGUUUUCUCCACGUACUGGCAAAGAAAGCCGACAUGUAAUGUCUUUGGACGACGUCUGUUUGCUUGUGAUUAUUUCAACACAGACCCUGUAGCAGAUAAACCACAAAGGAACCGGCGGCGAAGCACGCAAGAACAACACGGAGCACUGAUCUGGCAGCCAGGAUUGAUGUCUUUCGAGAUUUAGAUGGCAGCAGACAUUCAAUACCAGAUUUCUAUUUAGAUGUAACCCACAUCCUGGAUAGUCCUGGUUCUAUGUGUCCAUGAAAAGGUCAGAAUUUUCUUUUCAAUUAUUGUGUAGGGUAUUUUUUUCAUGAAAAUGGUUGGAGUUUGUCUUUUGUAAUUCUAUGUUUUUUUUGUGGUUUCAGGAUUGGGCAAAAUAAGCCCUG
rnacentral:lncRNA from 1 species